UACGUAGGGUGCGAGCGUUGUCCGGAUUUAUUGGGCGUAAAGCGCUCGUAGGCGGUCUGUCGCGUCUGCUGUGAAAACUCAGGGCUUAACCCUGAGCUUGCAGUGGGUACGGGCAGACUAGAGUGCGGUAGGGGAGACUGGAAUUCCUGGUGUAGCGGUGAAAUGCGCAGAUAUCAGGAGGAACACCGGUGGCGAAGGCGGGUCUCUGGGCCGUAACUGACGCUGAGGAGCGAAAGCAUGGGGAGCGAACAGG
rnacentral:rRNA from 1 species